rnacentral:lncRNA from 1 species
UGCUUCUUAAAAUAUUCGGAUAUCCUAAUAUAAGCGUCUGAUAAUCCGUGUUCAAUUAUCAGAUAAUCCAUAUCCAUCAGAUUUCACUAAUCUCAUAUCCUACACCGCAUUCGUCUAUAAUCGGAUUCGGAUUAUCCAUAUCUGCAUGGAUAUUUAAAACAUUUAUCCAUAUCCUUAAAAUUCAUAUUCGGAGCGAACCAGAGCGGAGAAUUAUCCAUACCAC